CAAAUUUUAGUUGUUAUACUAGGAUCGGAAAAGGAAAAAAAAAGUUAGGAGACAUGGGCUUAGCCAAGUUGGCUAUAGCAAAUAUGCUCCUCUCUACACUCGAUUUCAAAUCUCUCUCCCCGUAAUUUAUAUUAGAUUAAAGUAGAAUAUGACUUUUAUAUAAAAAAUAAAAUAAAAUAAAUAAACAUAAAAUUAAAUUUUGGGUAUACAAAAUCAUGUUUUUAUUGAUGUUGGGGUUAUUUUGUGAUAUGGGCCUUCGCAUGUUCAACCUAGUUCUUUGAGGAUUUGCUGAUGAUGGAGAUCGCGCCAAGGAGUAGGAUUACAUUUCAUGUGCAAGGUCUGCAUCUGUGUCUAUUUUUUCAUUAUUUCCUUUCAUUUCUGUACUCAAGAUAAGUUUUUUUUUUUUUUUCCUUUUUUUGAAAAGAUAUUGAUAAGGUAUUACAUCUGAUCUUCAACAAAAACAUCAGAUAAGUCUGGACCUUUUUCUCUCUCUCUCUCUCUCUCUCUCUCUCUCUCUCUCUCUCUCUCUCUCUCUCUCUCUCUCUCUCUCUCUCUCCCUGUCCUAACCUAUUUUUCAGUGUAAAUCGUUGGAUACAUCUCCUUUUUUUUUCUUUUUUUUCAAUAAAUGGCUGAUAAACAUUAUUCAAGCACUAAUACAAAACCAGGUAGCUAUUGGAAAACAUAUAUAAUUUCCUUAAUUAACGUGGUUAAGUGGGCAGAAGAUUAUAAACUUGAAACUUAAGCAACACGCCAAGUUUCCAAAUACCAAUCUCAUUUUUCGAUUGGACUAAUUGGAACCGCCACCACAAUCACUUUCCCUAUAAAUAAGUAACCAGUAACAUCUAUUAUUCUUACACUCGCUUAAUUCUAUUGCCUUUUGCCUUCCUUCUCUUCCAAGUAAUUUCAUACUCUCUCUUGCCCUACUAGCUUCUAAUUAGAAACCCUCGUUCCCUACUAGUUUCGAAUUAGAAACCCUCGUUCCCUAUUAGCUUCUAGUUAGAAACCCUCGUUCCCUACUAGCUUCUAAUUGGAAACCUUCCUUCUUCUUCUUCUUUUUUUUUUUUCAGGAGAAACCUUCCUUCU
rnacentral:lncRNA from 1 species